UGGGGAAUCUUGCGCAAUGGGGGAAACCCUGACCCAGCAACGCCGCGUGAAGGAUGAAGUAUUUCGGUAUGUAAACUUCGAAAGAAUAGGAAGAGUAAAUGACGGUACUAUUUAUAAGGUCCGGCUAACUACGUGCCAGCAGCCGCGGUAAUACGUAGGGACCAAGCGUUGUUCGGAUUUACUGGGCGUAAAGGGCGCGUAGGCGGCAUGACAAGUCAGUUGUGAAAUCUCCGAGCUUAACUCGGAACGGUCAACUGAUACUGUCAAACUAGAGUACAGAAGGGGCAAUCGGAAUUCUUGGUGUAGCGGUGAAAUGCGUAGAUAUCAAGAGGAACACCUGAGGUGAAGACGGGUUGCUGGGCUGACACUGACGCUGAGGCGCGAAAGCGUGGGGAGCAAACAGGAUUAGAUACCCAUGUAGUCCCUGAGCGGGCUGGCAAGGCGCAU
rnacentral:rRNA from 1 species